GGAUGGGAAGGUGAUCUGGAUGCCCAUUGAUCUCCAGAGUUGAUUCAGCUGAUCUGGCUGGCUAGGAGGGUGUCCCCUUUCUCACUGCUUCAUGUGCAUUCCUCCUGAAGCUGCUGUGUUAUGUCAAAGAGGAUGACCUUCCCCCAAUAGAAAUGGACUGGUCUUUGGUCAAGGGCAUAUGAGUAGCUGUGCUACCCUGCUAGCACCCCCAAAUAAACUCUUAAGAAUAGCCAGACAUGAACUAUAGGAGGGAGAGGGGGAGAAAGAGGUGAAUGGUGGGUAAAUUAGAAGACAAGAGUUCAGAAGGUUGACUGCUCCCUUC
ensembl:misc_RNA 7SK 7SK RNA